UACAACCAAGCCGUGUGCAGCCUUCUCCCUGGCACAGAACAGAAGCAGCUGCUCAAUGGUCAGCCUGUAGACUCAGGAGUCCCCUCGAAUUGACAAUGUUGGUUAAUCAUACUUUUAGAAUAUUCUAGAACAUCAGAAAUAUGAGAAAGGUAAACAUGAGGAAACCCUGUCUCUGAAGAGCAAGGUGAGCUUGUUCAAAGCCCCAGUCGUGUAUUUGAAAGUUCCCAUUCCUUGGUGCCUCUUUGCUCCAGUGGCAUCCUUGGAGGGGGAGCCUGCCCACUGGCCUCUAGUCCACACCUCUGCUAUUUUCCCAUUGCUUCUGUUCCUGCACUGGGUAUUGCCUGGCCUGUUUCAUUCUCUGAGCCAGCCAUUCCAGGAUUUCAUUGAACUUGGCUGUCCCAGUGAGAGGAAUACAGAGAAACCGUUUCCAAUUUAAAAGUGAAAAAGAAAGCUAGAAAGUGCUGUGUACUGGCCUCCUUCUACCAACAUCUCCCAAAGAGAGGUAGAGGGGCCUGCAGUGGCAUUAGAUGCUGCCCCUACACUCAGAAGUCCAUUCAGUAGGUAUGAAUAUCUGCAUUGUGAAAUCUACAGAGAGUCCCAAUUAGGAGCUGUUAUAGCUGUGAUGGAUUCAGGCAUAAACCAUAGUUGGGUGAGUUUGGGGACCGGCGUGUAAUAGCCAAGGUUGAAUGGGGGUGGGGGUAUGUUGUGUGUCCAGGAGGAGGUAGUUCCACUUUCCUAGUGCCUAGGGGUCACUCAAGCACCGGUGGGGUGGCGCGCAUCAAUAAUGAGACAGCACCAAAAAGAAAGGGCAGGUUUGCUCAUGAGGCCAUGUUCUCUUCUGACCCAUCUCCUCCCAUCUGCCUCCUGUCCCUAACCUGUCAUCAUAGGAACACAAAGCCUCAACAAAUGAAUACUUCCAUCUCCCACCCCUCCCCCAGUUGCUGCUCUCUCCAGCUGCUGUCUGCUAUGACUUCCUAUUCAGAAUGAUUCCAGAGAACCUUAUUCUGAAGGCCCUGAGUGCUGCUGGGUAGAAAAUGCUGCACGUCAGCCAGAGAGUGUGUUGGGUCCUCAUGUCCCUCAGACUUCUGGGUGCCUGUCCAUGUGCUACUUAGAGGCAGCAUUUACCCAGUUUCACCGACCUGCCUGGAUGUACCAAUGACCCAGCUAUGCUUGGCUGCCAGCAAUACUCCUUCCCCCUCAGACCUCAGGGAGCACAAUGUCUCCAACUGGAACAUGUUGUGAAACAGAAUGGUUCCCAUGAAGCCAAGGAUGGAAAAGAAACUAGGGAAAGCAAUCUUUAAGAGCUUAAUAGGGCUCACAUGAUUUUUGAAAGAGUUCAUAUAA